CGGGGCAUAGCGCAAUUGGUUAGCGCACUGGCUUUGGGAGCCAGAGGUUGUGGGUUCGAGUCCCACUGCCCCGA
rnacentral:tRNA from 1 species